UGGCCCACUCCGUUGGCCUAAUAGUUAGAGCGUCCGCCUCGAGUGCGGGAGGCGCAGGUUCAAAACCCCGGCUGAGUCAU